rnacentral:rRNA from 1 species
CGAAUAUUCCGCAAUGGGGGAAACCCUGACGGAGCACUGCCGCGUGUGGGAUGAAGCGGUUUCGCCGUGUAAACCACUGUCAGAGUCUAGGAACACUGACCAGACUCACAGGAAGGGCCGGCUAAUUCCGUGCCAGCAGCCGCGGUAAUACGGAAGGCCCGAGCGUUAAUCGGAAUUACUGGGCUUAAAGCGUGCGCAGGCGGAUCGAAGGGUGUCUUGUGAAAUCCCUCGGCUCAACCGGGGAACUGCAGGGCAAACCGCCGAUCUUGAGGCAGGUAGGGGUCGAUGGAACUGUCGGUGGAGCGGUGAAAUGCGUAGAUAUCGACAGGAACGCCGGUGGCGAAGGCGAUCGACUGGGCCUGUCCUGACGCUCAUGCACGAAAGCGUGGGGAGCAAAC